AACCAGACUCCUACGGGAGGCAGCAGUGAGGAAUAUUGGUCAAUGGGCUUACGCCUGAACCAGCCAAGUCGCGUGAGGGAAGACUGCCCUAUGGGUUGUAAACCUCUCUUGUCAGGGAGCAACGCCGGCUACGUGUAGCCGGACUGAGAGUACCUGAAGAAAAAGCAUCGGCUAACUCCGUGCCAGCAGCCGCGGUAAUACGGAGGAUGCGAGCGUUAUCCGGUUUUAUUGGGUUUAAAGGGUGCGUAGGCGGAAGGCAAACGCAGGGGUAAAAUCCGGGGGCUCACCCUCGGUCCGCCGUUGAAACUGGCGGUCUUGAGUGGGCGAGAAGUAUGCGGAAUGCGUGGUGUAGCGGUGAAAUGCAUAGAUAUCACGCAGAACUCCGAUUGCGAAGGCAGCAUACCGGCGCCCAACUGACGCUGAAGCACGAAAGCGUGGGUAUCGAACAGGAUUAGAUACCCCCGUAC
rnacentral:rRNA from 1 species